GCCAUGUACUGUAACCUGUCAGGCUGUCAGCAGCAAAAGUGAAACCUGUUUUAUUUCUUAAGUGUUUUUUUCCAUGAAAUUUUCAUGUCCAAAGAAAUUUUUAAAUAUCGUUUGUCUCCUUUUGCAUUGUCCGUGGUAGAAGAAGAUCGGAAAUAUUACUACCAACAAUUAGAACAUCUAAAGUGUCACGAUCCUUUGGCAAUACCACUUCCACUUUUCAAGUGUGGAAAAGUUUUAAAAACAAUUAUCCCUUCCAUUGAAAAAUAUCACCUAGUUCAGUAUUUGGUUUUUGAGAAAAACAAAGAUGAAGAGGGACGCCGUGAAGCUUACAAAAACUUAGACUCUGAACAAUACUUGUCAAACCCUUUCACUGACAAGUUAUUGGCACUUACUCUUUCUAAUUUGGUUGUGUUGAUUCGUACUCAUGUUACCCAUUCCCAGUCUUUAAACUUGCCAAAAGCAAGACCUUGGGCUGCUUUACAAAAUGAUGGCAAAGUGAUUGUUGCUUUUUGUGAUUGUAUUGCAGGGUUAGGUGGUGUAUGCAUACAUGUAAGUGCACUUCUUCAGUUGGCAGUUAAACAUUAUUCGGAUAGCUAGUGUGAGUCAAAUGAUGAAACAUCUGAUGACGAGAACAGUGUGCCUGUGACAUCUAGGCCGUGUACUUGGAACAAGCCCACCAAGGGACCUGUACCAGUACCAAAGUUAGCACAUUUAAGCGUGUUCUAUCUAUCUAUCUAUCUAUUUCAAAAGAAGAGCAGCAUUCUGUCGAGUUGGUUACGCACGACCAAAGUGUUAAUGAGGAGUGGAUUGAACAACGAAGUGGCAGACCAACAGGGACCAAAAUUACCCGCAUCUGUAAGAGAGAUUGGUCCAAAAUGGAGCUCACAAGUGGCGAAAUCAAGUUUGUCAUGGAAAUUUGUAACCCUGAACUAGUAAAGUUUACUGGCAACAAAAACACACGAUAUGGAUUGAAACAUGAACCCGAUGCAGUUGCUCUCUUACAAAAAGUAAUUAACGAGAAAAAAGAGCACGAGUCGUUCAAAUGUGAAGCAGUUGGAUUAGUGAUAUCAACCUCCACUCCAUAUCUAGCAGCGUCACCCGAUAGGGUUUGUAGUUGUUUGUGUCACGACAAAUAUGUUUUGGAGGUAAAAUGUCCUCCAACAUUACACGGAAAAAACAUUGAAGAACAUGCCAGGAGGACAAAAGGAUUUUGUCUUUUGAUAAACAACGAUACAAACAAGUUGUACCUCGAUCCUAAACAUCAAUACUACUACCAGGUACAACUGCAACUGUAUGUAACUGGGCUGAAGUCUGCAAUUUUUGCUGUUUUUAAUGGUAAAAAUGGAAUCGAAGCUCCUGGCAAAGCGUUACAGUUCAGUGAAAAGUGUACCCGCGUCAAGAGACAUAAAUCAGUCUGCCGUACCGUUUCACAGUGCGAACCUUAAUCAGUACAUUUGCUACUGCCAAGAUCCAGUCAGAGAAGGGGAAACUAUUAUGUGUUGUAGUGAUAUGUGUGUCAUCCACGAGUUCCACAAAUCGUGCACUCGAAGCAAAGUAUUUAGGAAUUGGAUCUGUAUUUAUUGCAAAAAAGAAAUUGCUUCUCAACGAAAAAAAGUGGCUGCUGAACAACAGAGGAAAGACGCUUCAUGUAACGCUAAUGAAAUUCUUGAAGACGUUACUGUAAAUAAAGAACUCAUCAGUAUCUCUACGCAACCAACAAGUUCUGGACACAUCGUUGUAACAAGUAACAUUGAAAAUCCAACUGUGGGUGAUGUUGGUCCCGUCGUUCAUCAACUUGUGAGCAGUAAUCGAUCUCAUUCUACCACUUCUCGGCGUGGUCGACCCCCCCCCAAAACAAAAUUGAUCUCUGUACCUAUAUUAAUGAACCAAGUGAAAUCAGAAUCGUUUGUGGAACCGUGCAAUGUGGAACUUGUAAACGACGAGAAUGUUGCACCUAUGGAAACUCAAAUUGUUACAUCUACUGCAAAAAGAGGAAGUCCAAGCUCUGUGUCCGUUCUAGGACAGCACAACACAUUAGUCAAUCACAGUCAAUCAAAGAGAACAAAGGUGUAUCAUAAUAAAGAUUCUAUCCCGGUUGUGUGUACUGUAAAUUCUGUUAGUCGAUCCGGACGAAUAAGAAAGCCGAAUAAAAAUAUCAUGAGAUAAAAUGUA
rnacentral:misc_RNA from 1 species